GCCUUUCCUGCAACGCAUAUGAUAAAAUUGGACCCACGCAGAGAUUGGCAUGGCCCCUGCGCAAGGAUGACGCGUAAAUUUCUUGGAGUGUUCCAUAUUUCU